AAAUACGCCACCUAAAAUGGAAAAGGAAGGUUUAGAGAUAAUGAUUGGAAAGAAGAAAGGCAUCCAGGGCCAUUACAAUUCUUGUUACUUAGACUCAACUUUAUUCUGCUUAUUUGCUUUUAGUUCUGCCCUGGACACUGUAUUACUUAGACCCAAAGAGAAGAAUGAUGUAGAGUAUUACAGUGAGACUCAAGAGCUACUGAGGACAGAGAUAGUCAAUCCUCUGAGAAUAUAUGGAUAUGUGUGUGCCACAAAGAUUAUGAAGCUGAGGAAAAUACUUGAAAAAGUUGAGGCUGCAUCAGGAUUUACCUCUGAGGAAAAAGG
rnacentral:lncRNA from 1 species